CAUGGCACCCCGACACACCGGGUCCCGUCUGAUCUCGGAAGCCAGGCAGGGCCAGGCCGGGUCAGUACUUGGUGGGAGAAAUGGAGCAAACUCAUCUCCUACCUGGGAAAAGGCGCCAUGU
rnacentral:rRNA from 1 species